AUGUGCUAAUAAAGAAAUUGCCUUCAGAGCUGCACAGUCUCAUACUUGAUAGAUUCUACUCUUCAGAUUCCAUAUUGGAUCGAAUUGGUAGUUUUUUCGCCACUUUAGAAGAAAUUGAAAUCCGAAACCAUGAUUCGCUCAAGUGCUUCCCACUAGACUUGUUCCCAAGGUUGAAGAGUCUCCGCAUCACUAGAUGUCCCAUUCUGGAAUCCCUUUCCACACACGAGACAACCCAUGAGAAUUUCACAUCUCUCAGUUCCUUGGAGAUCAGGGAGUGUGCUAAUUUAGUAUCUUUUCUCAAAGGAAGAUUACCUGCCCCUAAUUUGGCACGGCUUCUAUUGCUAGGUUGCUCAAACGUGG
rnacentral:misc_RNA from 1 species